rnacentral:rRNA from 1 species
GAAUUGUUCGCAAUGGGCGCAAGCCUGACGACGCAACGCCGCGUGGAGGAUGAAGACCUUCGGGUCGUAAACUCCUUUCGACCGGGAUGAAAAACCGCUGACCUAAUACGUUGGCGGACUGACAGUAUCGAGGGAAGAAGCCCCGGCUAACUUCGUGCCAGCAGCCGCGGUAAGACGAAGGGGGCAAGCGUUGUUCGGAAUUACUGGGCGUAAAGGGCGCGUAGGCGGCCUGCUAAGUCAGACGUGAAAGGCCUGGGCUCAACCUGGGAAUUGCGUUUGGGACUGGUGGGCUUGAGAGCGGGAGAGGAUGGUGGAAUUCCCAGUGUAGAGGUGAAAUUCGUAGAUAUUGGGAAGAACACCGGUGGCGAAGGCGGCCAUCUGGACCGUAUCUGACGCUGAGGCGCGAAAGCGUGGGGAGCAAAC